rnacentral:rRNA from 1 species
CCUACGGGAGGCAGCAGUGAGGAAUAUUGGUCAAUGGCCGAGAGGCUGAACCAGCCAAGUCGCGUGCAGGAAGACGGCUCUAUGAGUUGUAAACUGCUUUUGUACGAGGGUAAACGCAGAUACGCGUAUCUGUCUGAAAGUAUCGUACGAAUAAGGAACGGCUAACUCCGUGCCAGCAGCCGCGGUAAUACGGAGGAUUCAAGCGUUACCCGGAUUUAUUGGGUUUAAAGGGUGCGUAGGCGGUCGGAUAAGUUAGAGGUGAAAUCCCGAGGCUCAACUUCGGAAUUGCCUCUGAUACUGUUCGGCUAGAGAGUAGUUGCGGUAGGCGGAAUGUAUGGUGUAGCGGUGAAAUGCUUAGAGAUCAUACAGAAUACCGAUUGCGAAGGCAGCUUACCAAGCUACUUCUGACGUUGAGGCACGAAAGCGUGGGGAGCAAACAGGAUUAGAUACCCGAGUAGUC